rnacentral:tRNA from 3 species
GCUUCCUUGGCUCAGUCGGUAGAGCGUCAGUCUCAUAAUCUGAAGGUCGUGAGUUCGAACCUCACAGGGAGCA